UUCUAGCCCUGAUGGGAGGGAAAAUCCUUUUACUUUUUUCUUUAAAAAGUAAAAGAUUGGAAGGAACAGCAGGAAACAGC
rfam:Flavobacterium sp. ov086 genome assembly, contig: Ga0070134_111